CUUGGGGCCAGCCCCUCCCGCCGUGCUGGACCGCGCAUCGGCUUGGAGGCCCCUCGGGGCUGCCGCCGGUGCGGGAGACGUCCGCGGCCGUGCGGGCUGGGGACCGAGCGGCGGUUUCCGGCGCAGGAUCUGAGUCGCCGUCGAUGGAUUUCGCGUAGCCUGGCUUCUUUUUCUUUGGAUCCGGUGCGUGCGUGCAAGCUCUCUCUCUCUCUCUCUCUCUCUCUCUCUCUCUCUCUCUCUCGGUGCGUGCGUGCGUGCGCGCAUUGCACACCACUAGACCCAAACCCUAAACCAAAUCAGGGGAGCUCUCGUUGCCGGAUCGCUGGCCUAUGUCCGCCGCGUCAGUUCCCCACAGCUAUGGUGCCGCCAGCUACCGUCGUUCCAUUGCCCUGGAUUCGGCUGUGCGCGUGGGCUGGGAACCGUUCCCUGUUGUCUGAUGCGUCGUUGGAGCGGGAAGUUUGGUCGGUCGAGGGCCAGGUAUGAGCAGCUCCUGAGCUGGAUGGAUGGAUGCAGGUCAUGUGUCGUGAACUAACACCACGACACCUCUUUUGGAACGGAGGGAGUAUAUUUUGGAACGGAGGGAGUAUGUAUGUACGUAUGGAUAUCAUGGUCAUGUUGCUUGGGGGUUCAACCUCUUUUUUGGAUAAAGAAGAGGGGCGAUGCCCAUAAUUAUGACUGGCUGAAAUAAUCAUGUCUUUGAGACAUCAAGACAGCCGUGGCAAGGUGGGACUAAAUAGUGUCUGAAAGUGGGUAUCUGCGUUGGAGUUGCUCUUAGAGCCCACCCUUACCUCUGUUGCAGCCUGUCCAAUUCAUCGCCAAUGUUGGAUGUUCUGUGCCUUGGACGGUUGUUCUGAUGAGGGCAUGUACAUUGGUUCAGUCGGAAACCAUCGGCAGCAUGCGGCCAUCUCAGUGAUAACCAGGGCUGUUCUCUUACAUUGUGAUGUGUGGAUUAUGCAGCAAGAGAUGUGGGUGUUGGGUUUGAAGAUUAAAUGCUAAACUGAGACCUCUCUUGCUAUGCUACAUAUACUCAGUUCAGUUGCAUUUUGUUCUGGAUUUGGCAUGGAUCCUCUUCACCUCCCCCCCCCUCUCUCUCUCUCACACACACACACACACACACUCACACUCACCCUAAAACAAAUCAGUCAAGCUCUCAUUGCGACUCGCUGACCCGUCGUCUGUCUGGGGGGCUGCAACAUCAGUUCCUCGAAUCUACGGUGCUGCCAGCCACCGCCAUUCCAUUGUGCCUUGGAUUUGGUUGUGGCGUGGGCUGGGAACCGUACAGUGUUGUCUGAUGUGUCAUACGAGCCGGAGGUUUGGUCAGCUGACGCCGGGCAUGAGCAGCUCCUGAGAUUGUCUAAGUUACUCACCACUAUGACCAGUCUGAUGGAUGGAUGGAUGGAUGCUACUGUGUGAUGAAGAGAUGGAGUUCUUACCAGGGGCGAUGAUGAUGACCAUGGCUGAAAUAAGCAUGUCUUGAGCAACUAAGACAGCUGUGGUCUGUGGCUACUAAAUUAGAGCGCACCCUUACCUCUCUUGCAGCAAUUCAAUUCAUAGCUAAUGUUGGAUGUUCUGUGCCUUGGACGGUCAUUCUGAUGAAUGAUAACCAGGACAGUCCUCUUACAUCGCCAUGGGUAGAUUAUGCAGCAAGCUAUGUGAGUGUUGGGCUUUAAGAUGAAAGGCAAAACUGAGCCCUCUUAUGCUACGCAACAAAUAUUUGAUUUUACCUUCUUUAAUAUGCAUUGUUUUUUCUUUUCUAUUCCUCUCUAUUGUGUUGAUGUGAGUAACGACCCAUCUGGACUUGGAUUGAUGUCUUCUGAACACAGCAUAUUUGUUUCCGUUGUGUGUUGAUGAGUUCUAUUCUUUUCUGAAUGGCUAUGAUGAUUUUCUCCCCUUAGGUGUUGGAGAUCUUUCAGCAUAUCCUGAGAUAGAGAUGCUUUCAAGUCUUCUAAAUUGGUUCCAUUCAACUUUGCCCAGUUAGACAGUUAGUCGUUAUACUAGGAGGCCUUGCUCUGCAGCAAGUUACCAGUUGCGGCUAUUUGUUGCUGGGCUGGGAACCAGAGAGAGAGAGAGAGAGAGGGAGAUGGUAAGGAGACCUGAAGGAUUGGAAUAUCACGAAAGAACUAGCAAUGGACAGGGGUGCAUGGAAAUUAGCUAUCCACGUGCCUACCCCAACUUGUUUGGGACUGAAAGGCUUUGUUGUUGUUGUUGUUUGGUACCGUAAGGCUUCAAGUACUACCUGAAACAUUGUCCAACUUUGGUGAUUUAUGGUGGGUUAAAUCUGAGCCAUUCAAGUAAUACUCCACAAUUUUCCUGGAUUUUACGAACUAUUCCUCAUGCCUGUGUUUGUUAUGACACCUGUGCUGAUACUUCUACUACUGUUUGAUUAUUAGUAAUUUGAUCAGUGAGUACUUCUGGAAUGUACUCCUGAAAACAGCUUGAUUUCCCUACUAACUCUCUUUGUUUCUUCUUGAUUUGAAGAAUACCCGUUUGGCAACUGUGAAUGGUCAUGGCCCAUUGUGAAAAUUAAGUUAUAUAUAUUCUGUACAUUGUGGUCCUGUUACUUGAAAAAGAAACCUAUGGCUUUGGUUUGUCUAAAAAAAAACCCUAUGGCUUUGUUUCUUUGUGUGGACGCUUUGGUUUGUCUCAAAAAAAAAACCCUAUGGCUUUGGUUCUUUGUGUGGACCUUCUGGGAAGGUGAGAUGGCGUGAAAUCUUUUUAUCGAACCAAUUUAAAAGCAGAUUCUUAUUGAUACCAUUUUUCAGUUUUGUGGUCCUAUUUUCGCAUCCAUUGUCAAUUUUUCUGUUGAUAUUUGCCAUUGUAGUCCUCCUUAACUUCCACCAUUGAUGCUUGCCAUCUCGUCGCCGCCCCUAUCCCGCUUGCCUUGGCCGAUGAUCGUGCGCGUUGGCUGGGGCCGCGUCCCUCCCCAGACGGCGGCGAUAUACUCAGCUCAGUUGCAUUUUGUUUUGGAUUCGGGAUGGAUCCUCCUCAUCUCUCUCUCUCUCUCUCUCUCUCAAACUCUAAAACAAAUCAGUCAAGCUCUCAUUGCCGACUCGCUGACUCUGUCGUCUGGGUGGCUGCCACAUCAGUUCCCCGAAUCUACGGUGCUGCCAGCCACCGCCAUUCCGUUGCCUUGGAUUUGGUUGUGGCGUGGGCUGGGAACAGUACAGUGUUGUCUGAUGUGUCAUAUGAGCCGGAGGUUUGGUCAGCUGACGCUGGGCAUGAGCAGCUCCUGAGACUGAGACUAGUCAUAGUGGGAGUAACUUAAACCACAACAGGAAUUAUGGAAGGGGAGUAACAUACAAGCCACAUACGCAAAAAAGGUGGUGUGACAAGUAAUUAAAGAGGAUGGAUGGAUGGAUGUUUGCAUGCAUGUAAUGGGUAUCGUGGUCAUGUUGCUUGGUGUGUAGAGCCCAGUCGGGAGAUCAACCUCCUUUUGGGGAAAAAAAUGAGGGGCGAUGAUGAUGACUCUGGCUGAAAUAAUCAUUCCUUGAGCGAUCAAAGACAGCUCCGCCGCCGGCCUCGCCCCAGGCUGCGACGCGGUUCCUGCUCGGCCCUGACCGAGCCCAAGGUAGCUCCGCCGCCGUCCUCCCUCCUCUUUCCUCCAAUCUCCCUCCCUCUCAUCUCCUCUGUUCACUCACCAACCAGCAGCUAUCUAUGCCAAAUAUUGCUUGCUCGGGGGGUUAUGCAAUGGCCACUGGUGUCCCACUGGGAAAACCUAUUGUUGUGGAAGCCAAAGACAAAUCCAAAGUCAUGGAGGGACAAGGAACAACUGAUGAGGUAUUUGAACAUGUUCCUAGUGGAUCUAACUUUGUACUUCCUACUGCUAGUGCCACUCAGGAUCCUUCACCUACUUCAACUAAGAAGAGAAAGAGGACAUCUGUUUUGACUAAGGAAGACUAUCCAGUGUAGCAACAUGACUGAUGCUAUGCGUGAGAUUGCACGUGCCAUCAACAACACCUGUCAUGCUGAAACACAUCCUGGCUUGUAUAAGGCUGUCAUGGACCUUAUUGUGUUUGACCAGAAUGAGCGCUUGGCUGUCUUAGAUUAUCUCACAGAACAAGGGUCACCGAUUCCGGCUCACCCUUACCUCUCUUGCAGCCUGUUCAAUUCAUCUAUGAUGUUGUAUGUUCCGUGCCUCGGACGGUCGUUCUGAUGAGUGAUAACCAGGGCAGUUCUAUUACAUCAUGAUGGGUGGAUUAUGCAGCAAGAGAGUGAGUGCUGGGUUUGAAGAUGAAAGACAAAACUGAACCAUCAAUUUUUCACCUUUUAAUUGCAUUUUGUUUUGGACCCUCCCUCCCUCCCUCGGGCAGCCGCCGCAGAUGAAACAUCAGGGGCUGGCGGCUUGCGGUGUGGAUCGUGGGGCGGCUGGGAAUUUGGGUGUACUACCUGAUGGAAUUUUCACAAUUCAGUUCCGCUGGACAUGACCUGCUGUGGCUGGGAACUUUGAAUCCCUCUCCGCUUGAGCUCUUACUGAAUGUGGAGGGAAUACAUAUGAAACUACACUUGCGUUCCAAAGAGGCCCUUAAAUCGUAAUUACCAUCUCUUCUCUCUUGUGAGCUCUAAUGGCCUUCCAGCUGCUGAUACUGUACUUAGCUGUAGAUGUUCUGUAUCUUAUCCGACCUAAUUUUGACCCUUAUCUGUUGCAUGCGCAAAGGGAUCUUUGAUUAUUCAAUUUUUUCCUACACAUUUUAUUGGUUUUGCGGUACGUCAACCAGUUCUGUUGUUUUGGGAACAGUACUCUAGCCGCACUUAUUGUUGUCUUCUGUUCUUCUUUUUUCCUGAAUGGCUAUGAUAACUCCGCUGUCCGUUGGAUUGUUCUUGAAACUAUCUUAUUUGGUGUUGGGUCAGUUUGCUUGUUUCAAUUGCUAUUUGACUUGAUAAAUUCAUUCUUCUGCUGUACUCUUUAUCUACUUAUCAGUUUGUACCUUUGGUUUCUCGUUACUUCUUUACUGGUUUCAACUUAAGGGUCGUAUAGGGCAAGUUAAGAUUACUGUUUCCUUCAUGUAAUGUUUAUGAAUGGCUAUGAUGAUAUAGCUUCCCUGCGAGAGCUUCUGUCCAACACCUGAAUUGAUUACUUGGUGCUAAACUAGGAUGGCUUGUGUCAUAGCAAGUAACCAGUUCAGCGGCUAACUAUUACUCCCUCCGUUCACAAAUAUAAGAUGUUCACUCAUGGUGUCAAGAUGGUGGUAUAUCUGAGCCAUUUACUUUUACAUGUCCCGGUUUUUGUGUCUACCAGUUCAUGACUUGCUCCUGAUGUAGUGUUUCUUUCUGCUUUCACCGAUUCUCCUGUGGUUUAUGGUCAUCUUGCGCUCUUUGACUAUUGGCUUCUCUGCUAUUCUCUUUGUGAUUUUGCCAAGUGCUGUUGAUGGCGAUGAUGAGUAAGGCUCAUUUAGAGGUGGUACUGAGAUCAGAUACCAUCGCUUGUUUUCAUGGUAUUGUUUAGGGUUAGGGUUUUGUGUGACCAGGUGUAAGCGUGCAAAUCGGGAGAGCUUGCUUUCUGUGAGCUACCAUUUCAAUACCGAAUUGUCACACAGUGGAUCGGAUACAGAGUUGGUUUUGCCCAUAUGAUAGACUGGGCCAACUCUGAGCCUCCCAUUUUCUUUUUAAAUAUGACCUCUCUUUCUACAAUUUGUGGUUAUGUGCUUAUGUAUAAUCUUCUCAAUCUGUAAAUGAUUUAUAGCAGUAUUGGGAUCUCACUGUAAUACUCCCUCCGUCCCAAAAUAAGUGUCGCUGCUUUAGUAUUAAAUUUGUACCUUGGUACAAAAUUUGCGACACUUAUUUGGGACGGAGGGAGUAUAUGUUAUCAAAUUCGACACUUAUGAGAUAUGCUCAUAGCGAACUGGAUGUUGAGCCGUUUUAUGCUUUACAUACUCAGAAUGCUUUGAACUGCUGAUGCAUCAAGAGGUUCUACUUUGUUUUAAUAAAAAACAAUCCUGUGUGCUGAGAGGGAGGGCCCUGGACGCGGCAGAGGGCUUCACAUCUUUUGUUCAAACAAUGCUAUUAUUUGCAACUGUACGCCCACUUUGUUACUUCUACGUUCUGUUUCUUUGCUCAGUGUUCCUGCAUUUUAUUUCGCGCAAGGUUUUCUUCCGUUUCAUACCGUUAUAUUGUAUAAAUCGUGCUAUGUUGCUCCUUUUCAUUCAUGCAUCUGCUGCACUAUGGCACCUCAAGCGUCAAACAAAAAAGCUACUCCCUCCGUCUCAAAAUAUGGUCUUAACUUUGUACUAACUUUAGUACAAAGUUACACUAAGCUUUAGACAUUUAUUUUGAGACGGAGGGAGUACUGCAUUUGGUCUUUGAUGUCAACAUAUGCUCCCUCCGUCCCACAAAUAUGUUUUUGCAAAUAGCUUGCAAAAAUCUCUACAUUAUGGGACGGAGGGUGUAUUUAUUUAGUUUUGAGUACCCAUUUAUAUGUGGUAUACAUCAUGUGCAAGCUAAUCUAUGCACUCCCCCUAUUUCUAUGUUUGCCUCUUGUGUGAUUCCACCUUGCCCUCUUUCUAUGCACAGGUGAUAUUUCCGGUAGUAUGUGAUUUGAACUUCAUUUUGUUUACUUGAACCAAAAACAUUGUACUCUACAUCUUGAUCUCGUGUAGUUAAUUCCUCAUAUUUAUGUGGGUUACUUUUGAACCACUAAUAACUUUGAUGACAUAUAAUUUUCAUGUAAUGCAGUAUAUGGGAAUGUACAAGCAUAUAAACUGGAUAUUUCCUAGAAAUCUCAAUAUUAGAUAAUCACUAGCUGCAAGCGUAUACACUGGAUGGCUUGUCGUGGGCUAGCACUCUUGCACGGUAUGCACCACCAUGAAAAUACUCCCAAGUCUGAAUUCUGGUCAUAUAUGCUUGGUCAGUGGUUUGUAUCUGUUACUCUUCCAAUCUUCGGCAGCGGUGGAGACUUUUGGGAUCAGCAGCCGUAGAAGAUGCAGGGCAAAGGCUUAGAAGGGGUUUCUCGUAAUUUUAGCAGAUGUCAGUUGGCUCAGAAUUACGAACGUAAUUUUAGCAGAUGUCAGUUGGCUCAGAAUUACGAACGAGGCUUUAACGCAGCUGUACUGUCAUAUACAACAUGUAUAUAUAUAACAGUGAAUAACAUUAAACACCCUAGUUUUGAAAA